rnacentral:rRNA from 1 species
UACGGAGGGUGCAAGCGUUAUCCGGAUUCACUGGGUUUAAAGGGUGCGUAGGAGGGCAGGUAAGUCAGUGGUGAAAUCCCCGAGCUUAACUUGGGAACUGCCGUUGAUACUAUCUGUCUUGAAUACCGUGGAGGUGAGCGGAAUAUGUCAUGUAGCGGUGAAAUGCUUAGAUAUGACAUAGAACACCAAUUGCGAAGGCAGCUCGCUACACGAAUAUUGACUCUGAGGCCCGAAAGCGUGGGGAUCAAACAGG